CAGUCGCCGCGGUAAUACGUAGGGCGCAAGCGUUGUCCGGAAUUAUUGGGCGUAAAGAGCUCGUAGGCGGUCUGUCGCGUCUGGUGUGAAAUCCCGAGGCUCAACCUCGGGCUUGCAUCGGGUACGGGCAGACUAGAGUGCGGUAGGGGAGACUGGAAUUCCUGGUGUAGCGGUGGAAUGCGCAGAUAUCAGGAGGAACACCGAUGGCGAAGGCAGGUCUCUGGGCCGCAACUGACGCUGAGGAGCGAAAGCAUGGGGAGCGAACAGGAUUAGAUACCCCGGUAGUCCCUGUCUCUUAUAC
rnacentral:rRNA from 1 species